CGAGAAGUGAAUAACCUCCGGCACGGGUUCGUCCUCGUCUUGGCAUCGUGCAGCGUCUUGUAACGGUAAGAGUCGAAGGUGGAAGAAAGAGAUAGAGAAAGGAGGGAGGAAGAAGGAGGUGGAGGAGGAUGAAGAAGAGGAGCAACACAAGUAUAGAAAGAAGAGGAGAAGAAGAAGGCUCACUGCUCCGAGUGGACCUGCUUGGCUAGUACAGGAAAGAAAGAACGUGCUUUGGUUGACCACGCAGGCUACAUCACAUCGAUUUAUUAAUCCGUCGAAGACCGGUAGCAAGGACGAAGAAAGGAAAGAGGGGAGAGCGGGUGUAGAGGAAGAAGAAAUUCGGUAAAUGAGAGCCUGGCGCAAGACGGCACUGCCGUAACUUUGGGCAUUACAAUAAUAAAGAGCCGAGUUAGGGCCCAGUCCAUGGAGAGAAGAAAGCAAGGAAUGAGAUGAAGGAGAAGGCGCAGCCCGUGAGUUCGGCUAUUUCCAUAAUCCGAUCGCACACUACCUUUUGGACCAAUGAAAAGCUCGAUUUUACGCGACACGUGCUCUGCCUGAGCUCUUCCCUUUGUAAGACAUCGAUAUUGACGUAGAGAAUACCAAACAUUUUUUUAAUAAUUUAUUUCCUAUUUCAUUGUUCCAUACAACUGACAUUCCGAUCGUUCUUUUACGAGUACGAUGAUUAAACACGAAGGUUAUAUUUU